rnacentral:lncRNA from 1 species
CAAAGAUAUAUUUAGCUUCUUGCUUAGGGUUUCAUAAUCAGAACUUCAAAUUAAUACAUGUAAAGCCUGCAAAUCUUAAUGUGAUAUCUUAUUUUUUAGCUAUUAUUAUUAAAACCAAGGAAACUGGAUUUCAAAGUUAAAUAACUUGAUGGUUACACAGCAGAGCAGGAGCAAAUUCAAAAUGGCGUCAAUCCAAGGUUGAAUUCUACUUCCAGAAUUCCGCCUUAUGCUGUCUCUCAUCAAGCAGAGAAAGUCCUGAAUAAAAAAAUACUAAUAUCGUAUUUUUGUUUGCUUAUUGUUUUUUUUUAAGAUUUCAGACACAGAAAUAAAAGGAUGAAAUAAAUUCAGAAGGAAAAUAUUUGGUUGGAUUUUAACUAAAAAUAGAGGUAGAAGUCCCUUAGGAAAUGCAGAGACUAAGAAGAAAGGCAGACUGAGACUUUCCUUUGGUGGUUUUUUAGAGGUCUCCAAAGAAAUUCAAGUACUAUAGUGGAGCCCAUUACAAAGAAUUUUAGUUAAUGUUCUUCCUUUGGAUGUGGAUAGUGUUCUUUCUCAUAAGUCCCUCAGGGGGGGUGGAGUCAAGAUGGCGGCAUAGAGGCAGCAAAAGUUCAGACAUCUGAAAACCCUUCCUUAUUGAUCACAAACUGAAUGCUCUGAAG